UUUUAUCUUUUAACAUAACCCUAAAAUCAUCUGCAGCACUCUCAUUCUUCUCUUCUCCCAAAUUUGAACCCUAGCAGAGAGCAUACUACCCUAGCCAGUAGCCACCGACGGUCAAAAGCUCCUCAUUGACCAUGGCGGUUCACGGUAACGGCCAAUAGUCCCUCACUCAUGGCGGCAACCAGCAACCCCAAGCCUUUUCCCCACACCACCAUCUUCGAUUUUUGCCCGGCUAUCACCGUUCGUUACUUCCAUCAUCAGACGUCUUCUCCGCCAUCGUUAGUGAUCUUUUCUACCAUCCUCAGUCCUUUUCUCCAUGGUUUGCAGGAAAGAAGCUCUCUCUUACUGACUCCGCCGCUGCCAGCGGCAUCGCAGCAGCGCUCAUUGUCACUCCGACGAACCCCGCAACAGCUCUUAGGCUCUACACCACUGUUUCCCACCGACUCCUCCGCAAUGUCGUUAUUGCCGCCAACAUUGCUUUCGGACCCACAGUUCAAGAACCUUCUCUCAUCAUGGUCCCACACGACCAUUAAUUGAAGCUCAAACACAACUGAAGCACAAGAAGGAAUCUGUGAAGACAAAGCAUCCACAGCUUCAUUAUGAAUCAAAUAUAUGUGCUUCUUCAAGAAGGGAUGGUUUGGAGUUGAAGGAGACUACAACAUUAUGGCUAUUGACCUUCUUGGACCAAGCUUGGAAGAUUUAUUCAAUUAUUGCAACAGGAAGUUUACACUGAAGACAGUGUUAAUGCUUGCUGAUCAAUUAGUAAGUCUACAUGUCAACUAUUAUAAUCAAACAAGAAUCACAUGAUGUUGUGUAGUGUAGUGCAGUGCCUUGAUUUUGACUGUUGGAUUCCUUAUGAUUAUGAAUUUCUUUCCUUUUCUUUUUUGAAUUUCUUGCUACUUCUUUGGUGAUCAUCUUCUAUGAAUUCAUUUGUAGAGUUCUGCAUCAUGGGUUAGUUUGCCUUAUAAUUCUAUGACCUCAUGUAUAGACAAAAGAUUUCCCAUUCUUUUAUUGAUCUGUGUUGCUUUUUUGUAAUUUGCAGAACUGAUGAGGUAAUCAACACUCAAUUGAUGAUUUCUCGGUAAAUUUGCCAAAAAUGGGUCAAGCAUUUUUCUCCAUAUUUUAGCUUGAAACAGAGGUUGUUAUUGGCUUAUUUGCAUUACAUUUGUAGUGUGUAAAUUAAAUUAUUAGUUUUGUUAUAGAAUUGUAAUUUUUUUUAAUUAUAAUUAUAGCAUGUAAAUAAUUCAUGUAAACCAAUAAAAAAUCAAUUCUUUAUAAACUUUCUUA